rnacentral:rRNA from 1 species
GUGCCAGCAGCCGCGGUAAUACGUAGGGUGCGAGCGUUGUCCGGAAUUACUGGGCGUAAAGAGCUCGUAGGUGGUUUGUCGCGUUGUUCGUGAAAACUCACAGCUUAACUGUGGGCGUGCGGGCGAUACGGGCAGACUAGAGUACUGCAGGGGAGACUGGAAUUCCUGGUGUAGCGGUGGAAUGCGCAGAUAUCAGGAGGAACACCGGUGGCGAAGGCGGGUCUCUGGGCAGUAACUGACGCUGAGGAGCGAAAGCGUGGGGAGCGAACAGGAUUAGAUACCCUGGUAGUCCACGCCGUAAACGGUGGGUACUAGGUGUGGGUUCCUUCCUUGGGAUCCGUGCCGUAGCUAACGCAUUAAGUACCCCGCCUGGGGAGUACGGCCGCAAGGCUAAAACUCAAAGGAAUUGACGGGGGCCCGCACAAGCGGCGGAGCAUGUGGAUUAAUUCGAUGCAACGCGAAGAACCUUACCUGGGUUUGAC